rnacentral:rRNA from 1 species
GAUGAACGCUGGCGGCGUGCCUAAUACAUGCAAGUCGAGCGAACAGACGAGGAGCUUGCUCCUCUGACGUUAGCGGCGGACGGGUGAGUAACACGUGGAUAACCUACCUAUAAGACUGGGAUAACUUCGGGAAACCGGAGCUAAUACCGGAUAAUAUAUUGAACCGCAUGGUUCAAUAGUGAAAGACGGUUUUGCUGUCACUUAUAGAUGGAUCCGCGCCGCAUUGGCUAGUUGGUAAGGUAACGGCUUACCAAGGCAACGAUGCGUAGCCGACCUGAGAGGGUGAUCGGCCACACUGGAACUGAGACACGGUCCAGACUCCUACGGGAGGCAGCAGUAGGGAAGCUUCCGGAACGGGCGAAAUCCUGACGGAGCAACGCCGCGUGAGUGAUGAAGGUCUUCGGAUCGUAAAACUCUGUUAUUAGGGAAGAACAAAUGUGUAAGUAACUAUGCACAUCUUGACGGUACCUAAUCAGAAAGCCACGGCUAACUACGUG